GUGCCAAGCUGCUUGUAAACAGCGAGGGCCUUUGUUUAAUUGUUGGGUGUUCGUGAACCUCUGAAGAUUGCUGUGCUCCACCUUUCAGCGUUUAGCUGAGUACAUCGUCUCCAAGACCUUUCACCAAGCAUCCAUCAGCAAGGAGUUCAAGCUAAGCAAGACAUUACCCCGUUCCAGAGGCUGAGCAAAUCACAUGCCUACCCUGUAACUAAUUACUUCUAUUGGCUGAUUGGUUUUUAAUGCAUCUGUUUUACAGGUUCAUGAAGACUCACCUGUGCUGGACCAUGAAACAGCAGCUGCACCUGCAUGAAAACCUUCUGAACGUGGCAUUAAGACAGACAUCGGGGUGGUCGCUGCUGUUCAAGAGCUUGCCCAUGGUGAAAAUGGCCUCACUCCCUUGGGUCUGACAUAAAGAGGAGAGAAACAGCAAAAAAUUCUUUGCUGGAAAUCAGGAUGGGUCCUUGGACUUUGCUGAGCCUGUUUGUUGAUGUGACCUGAGCACAUGGCUCCCUGGGUGGGUGGGAGUCUCACACCUCCAACUUGAUGGAUGGAACAACAGUGGUGGAUGAGCUGUUACUUGCCUGAAAAAAAGUGUUUUGGGGGAAAAUUGUCUCCAGUCAUUCUCAUUUUGCAUGUGAUUUUUCCUACAUAUGUUUCUAAUCAUUAAGAAAUUCUGUAGCUUAAAUAAUGCUCUGAAAGUACGGUAACUGUUGGACUACAUUCUGUUGUAACCUUAUUGAAUUUCA